CCUACGGGGCGCUGCAGUAGGGAAUCUUCCACAAUGGGCGCAAGCCUGAUGGAGCAACACCGCGUGAGUGAAGAAGGGUUUCGGCUCGUAAAGCUCUGUUGUUGGAGAAGAACGUGCGUGAGAGUAACUGUUCACGCAGUGACGGUAUCCAACCAGAAAGUCACGGCUAACUACGGGCCAGCAGCCGCGGUAAUACGUAGGUGGCAAGCGUUAUCCGGAUUUAUUGGGCGUAAAGCGAGCGCAGGCGGUUGCGUAGGUCUGAUGUGAAAGCCUUCGGCUUAACCGAAGAAGUGCAUCGGAAACCGGGCAACUUGAGUGCAGAAGAGGACAGUGGAAGUCCAUGUGUAGCGGUGGAAUGCGUAGAUAUAAGGAAGAACACCAGUGGCGAAGGCGGCUGUCUGGUCUGAAACUGACGCUGAGGCUCGAAAGCAUGGGUAGCAAACAGGAUUAGAUACCCCGGUAGUC
rnacentral:rRNA from 1 species